rnacentral:rRNA from 1 species
UACGGGGGGUGCGAGCGUUGUCCGGAAUCACUGGGCGUAAAGGGUGCGUAGGCGGGUCUUUAAGUCAGGGGUGAAAUCCUGGAGCUCAACUCCAGAACUGCCUUUGAUACUGAGGAUCUUGAGUUCGGGAGAGGUGAGUGGAACUGCGAGUGUAGAGGUGAAAUUCGUAGAUAUUCGGAAGAACACCAGUGGCGAAGGCGGCUCACUGGCCCGGUACUGACGCUGAAAUACGAAAGCGUGGGGAGCAAACA